ACUACGGGAGGCAGCAGUGGGGAAUAUUGCACAAUGGGGGAAACCCUGAUGCAGCAACGCCGCGUGAAGGAAGACGGUUUUCGGAUUGUAAACUUCUGUUCUUCGUGAAGAAUAAUGACGGUAGCUAAGGAGCAAGCCACGGACAACUACGUGCAACCAGCCGCGGGAAUACGUAGGUGGCAAGCGGUGUCCGGAAGUACUGGGUGUAAAGGGAGCGCAGGCGGUAUGUCAAGUCAAGGGUGAAAUCCCCGCGCUCAACGUGGGAACUGCCUUUGAAACUGGCAAACUGGAGUGUGUGAGAGGAUAGUGGAAUGCCAGGUGUAGGAGUGAAAUCCGUAGAUAUCUGGAGGAACAUCAGUGGCGAAGGCGACUAUCUGGCACAUAACUGACGCUGAGGAGCGAAAGCGUGGGUAGCAAACAGGAUUAGAUACCCGAGUAGUC
rnacentral:rRNA from 1 species